AGAGUUUGAUCAUGGCUCAGAAUCAACGCUGGCGGCGUGCCUAACACAUGCAAGUCGAACGAGAAAGUGGAGCAAUCCAUGAGUACAGUGGCGACCGGGUGAGUAACACGUGACCAACCUGCCCUCGAGUGGGGAAUAACUCCGGGAACCGGAGCUAAUACCGCAUAACAUCGCAAGAUCAAAGCCGCAAGGCGCUUGAG
rnacentral:rRNA from 1 species